GAACCCGUUGACGUUGAAAAGUCUUGGGAUGACCUGUGGGUAGGGGUGAAAGGCCAAUCAAGCUCGGAAAUAGCUCGUACUCCCCGAAAUGCAUUUAGGUGCAGCGUGUAGAUAGUUUUAUAGAGGUAGAGCUACUGAUUGGAUGCGGGGGCUUCACCGCCUACCAAUUCCUGACAAACUCCGAAUGCUAUAAA
rnacentral:rRNA from 1 species